rnacentral:rRNA from 1 species
UACGGGGGGAGCAAGCGUUGUUCGGAGUUACUGGGCGUAAAGGGUGUGUAGGCGGUUUUCUAAGUUUGGUGUGAAAUCUCCCGGCUUAACCGGGAGGGUGCGCCGAAAACUGGGAGACUAGAGUGCGGGAUGGGGAGAGUAAGAAUUCCGUGGUGUGAGACGGUGAAAUGCGUGAGAUAUCGAGGAGGAAUACCGGUGGUGCAG